rnacentral:rRNA from 1 species
UACGAAGGGGGCUAGCGUUGCUCGGAAUCACUGGGCGUAAAGGGUGCGUAGGCGGGUCUUUAAGUCAGGGGGGAAAUCCUGGAGCUCAACUCCAGAACUGCCUUUGAUACUGAGGAUCUUGAGUUCGGGAGAGGUGAGUGGAACUGCGAGUGUAGAGGUGAAAUUCGUAGAUAUUCGCAAGAACACCAGUGGCGAAGGCGGCUCACUGGCCCGAUACUGACGCUGAGGCACGAAAGCGUUGGGAGCAAACAGG